rnacentral:rRNA from 1 species
UGCAAGUCGAGCGACUGAUUAGAAGCUUGCUUCUAUGACGUUAGCGGCGGACGGGUGAGUAACACGUGGGCAACCUGCCUGUAAGACUGGGAUAACUUCGGGAAACCGAAGCUAAUACCGGAUAGGAUCUUCUCCUUCAUGGGAGAUGAUUGAAAGAUGGUUUCGGCUAUCACUUACAGAUGGGCCCGCGGUGCAUUAGCUAGUUGGUGAGGUAACGGCUCACCAAGGCAACGAUGCAUAGCCGACCUGAGAGGGUGAUCGGCCACACUGGGACUGAGACACGGCCCAGACUCCUACGGGAGGCAGCAGUAGGGAAUCUUCCGCAAUGGACGAAAGUCUGACGGAGCAACGCCGCGUGAGUGAUGAAGGCUUUCGGGUCGUAAAACUCUGUUGUUAGGGAAGAACAAGUACGAGAGUAACUGCUCGGACCUUGACGGUACCUAACCAGAAAGCCACGGCUAACUACAUGUCAGCAGCCCCGCUACUACAUNNGUGGNNAGCGUCAUCCGCAACUAUUUUUCGUCCANNUCGCGCNNGCGGUUUCUUUUUUCUUAUGUGAANACCCCCCCCNUUCCUUGCAGGGGUGNCUUUUACUAUGCANAUUUAUCCCCCCGUACAAAAA